rnacentral:lncRNA from 1 species
UGAUACGUUGUAAUACGUAAUAUUUGAGGAUUAUUGGAACUUACGGAUUGGGAAUCCGAAUUACGGAUCUUCCGGAAUUGGAAUUGUAAGUCCAUAAUAUAAAAUGUUAACCGUCACUUAGUUUUGGAAAUUGACGGAGAUCCGACCGUUGGAUGGUAAUGAAAUUUUAGGAUGUUGUCCUAGAGGUAUAAUGUGGACCUCUGGAAGUUAUGGAUUAAAAUCUGAGUGGUGGAUCUUCCGGAUCAAUCUACGUAGUGACGUAUUUUAUAUAAGUUAUAUAUUCUAUCGAUAUGAAUUCUGAGGUUGGAAUUGAUUAUUGUUUUAGGCGCCGAUCGUCAUGACGCCUUGGCGUAUUGUGCUAGGGAGUUGUAGGGCGAACUCCAGGUGAGUGGGCAGUUUUGUUUUCCGUAUAUAUAUAUAUAUACUUGACGUUUCCCAGAAAUUGAAAAUGCAUGAAAUUAUGCUUUAAAUGAAAAUGCAUAGAAUUGAUAUGAAAAGUAUAUAGAAAUGUGAGUUGAAAUGCCAUGCAUGAAUUAAUAUAUGAUGCAUAUGUAUGAAUUGGUGCGGUGGACGCACAGGUAAGAAUUGAUUUAUGAUGCAUAUGUAUGAAAUGGUGCGGUGGACGCACAGGUGAGUAUUUAAUUACUGUUAUGAUGAUGAUGAUAUAUAUUGAGCUCAAAUCCUGCACCAUGGUUUAGUGCUUAUAGUAUUCACCGCAUCGCACGCUCGCCUUGGAUCCAAGUAGAUGCUAGUCGUACAGUCCACGCGGAGUGGGUACGACAGACCAGUCGCGAGAGUGUUAGUGAGAUUCCGACUGGUGGGUGACCUUAGAUUAUGUGCACAGAUGAUUUAUGAGAAGCACUAGAGCGUAACUUGUGUGCAGAAGGCCGGACGGGUCACAGAGGUGACUCCGGUAGAGUGAUAAUGAUAGAUUUUGAGCUCUAGGUUCAACCGUACAGGGCUAUUAGAGGGCCUCCGGUUGAUUACUUUCUUGCACCUGAUAUGAUUAUUGUUGAUGCAUCCAUACUUAACUGUUGAAUUAGACAUGGCAUGGCAUGAUUGAUAAAGAAAAAAUGUUGAGUUAAUGAAUUAAAGUAUUGAGAAUAUAUAUGUAUAUUUAUAUUUUACAUUUCUGGGAAAAUAUACAGGUUUUACAGAGAGGGGUUACAACGUUUUGAAAAAUGUUUGGAUUUGGAAAAGAAUUGUUUUACUGACCCACUCAAUUUUGGUUUUGCGCCCCUCCAGGUUCAGGAAUCACAAAGGUGUGGUGACUACGAGGAAUACAGCGGGGUUCUGACAGAUUGGACAAAAUUAGGACUCACCUUCGGGUGUAUCAACUUAUAAAUUGUAUCUUAAAGCUUCCGUACUGUGCAAAUGGUUACGUCACUCUCACGUGACGGCCAGCAUGCCCUCCUUCGGGACGGGGUGUGUCAGUUGGUAUCAGAGCAUGGUUGCAAUCUUGGACAUUUUGAGAAGUUCUAGUGAAUUCUGUCAGAACUACACCGCCUCGUAGCAAGCCACUUAGUUAGAGGAAUUUAGUCUCCCUAAUAUAACGGUUUAGGGGAAACUAUUAUUAUGGUGAUUCAGUCUAUUAUAAAAAGGGACAUUUUAAGAUGGGUUAUGAGUUGAAUUUGAAUCACUUAAGAGAAAUGAUGAACCUGAGGGAGCGAAGUAACGGUUUAACCAUUUGGAAAAGAUGUUUCGGAUUAUGCAAGUCAAAGGAAUCUUCCUUCUGACAGGGGGUCGAGACGACUACCUGGUUUUGGGUAUGAAUUUGUAUCCUGGUGGAAACAGGAGUAUGAUUUGUUGUCAUCGGAGGAACAACCGAUUUAAAAUUGUUUAAGGAAAAGUUUAUCCCUCUGGCAUUUAUUGAUGGUAGUAAACAAGAGUUUACAAAUAUGAGACAAGGAAGGUGAUGAUCGAGGGAUAUUAUAGAAAGUUUUCAGACUUGCCUCGUUCCAUCCAGAUAUUGUUGUGAAUUUGGUGGAGGUGUUAUGUUGUUUUAGGCUGGGUGACAAAAGGAAGUGGUAUUUUUGGGUGACCCCUAUCCAUGGUAUUUCUUACCAGGAGUAUAUGAGAUGUUGUUGAGCCUUGAAGACUCUGAGAAUAUGAUCAGCGAGAGUAAAGAUGAAUAAGAAAAGAAUGGGAAUUAGAUGAAAGAACGAUAAAGUUAAUGAUUCGUCAUAUCAAGAAUAUCGAAAGACUCAGAGCUUCAAAAGAAGUGAAGCUAGAGUUAAUUUUUCCAGUUGAGGUUUUAAUGUCGCUGGUCAGAGUAAAAGUGAUGGAUAUACUGGUAAUCCCAGAUAUUUGAGACAAGGUGUCUCGAGUAAAGGAAAUGUACUUUGUGCAGCAGGUACAAAAAUUAACACUUUGGGAAGUGUGAAAUUAAUGAAUGUGUUUAUGUGAACAGAGGGGACACAGAAUUGUGAAUCGUCCCUAUAAUCAGUUGUACUCAAUAAUUUUCCAUGAUAUCAUAGUGUCGAUUCAGCAGAGUUAUGGAUUUAGUAGUUUGGUCGGAUUGACCGUGAGUACAGAGAGAUUUGAUGAGUUAUAUGUUCAGCCGUACAGACCAUAAGAAGUGGAUUCGAUUGACACAUGAGAAAUUAGUGAGUUAUAGGCUCGGCCGUACCGACCACGCGAAGUGGAUCCGGCCGACGUAUUAUUAAGAUAAGAGUUGAAUCAACCGUAUUGGUCAUUCUAGUUGACUUCGGCUGAUAUAUUUCUUAUUAUGUAUGUUAUUACCUAGAGAGUAGUAAAUAAAUGUAGUUGAGACGAGUGUAUGUAUUGCAUUGAGUAACAAAAUAGUAAUGUUAUAUCUUUGAGAGUGGUUGCCUACUUAUCGAGACAACGAUGAUUUAUCAGUAUUGCGGGCUGCAGACCGUAAUAUUAAUAACUCAUUCGUGGAUUCGUUAAGCAAGCAAACCGGUAGAUUAUUUUAUGUUAGUAUUGUACUUAUUUAGAAUGCUUAAUAAUAAUAGAAUAUAUAUUGUGUCGGUUAAAUUAUUUCCAUUAGAUUGGUUGGUUAUAAUUGUGACAAGACGGAAUGUUAAGGGAAACCAGUACUUUCCAUCGAUCUGGAUGACCAGAGAUUACUUUUGUAAGUAUGCAAAGUGGAUUGAGUCAGGCCGUUAUUUAUGCUGUGAGAGCAAAGAGAUUGUUUUCGAAAGGCUGUCAAAAAUAUUAGCUCGUGUGGUGCUAAAUGAUGUUGUUUGGAGUAGUGUGAAUAAUGUCAAAAAGGGGUUAGACUUUUCUUGAUGUCUUCCCUGAAAGUAUACCUGGAUUGCCUUCAGGCAGAGAUAUGAGGUUCACUAUUGAUUUGUUGCCAGGUAUAAAUCUAUGUUAAAGAUUGGUUCAGGAUGAGUUAAGGGAAUUGGAAAUUCAGUUGAAAGAAUUGGUUGAUAAAAGUUUCAUUCAACCUAGUACAACAUUUUUGAGGAGCCCCAGUUUGUUGGUGAGGAAGAAAAUGGACUUAGAGAUUGUUCAUUGAUUAUAGACAAUGGAGUCGGGUAACGAUUAAGAACCGUUAUCCAUGGUAAUGUACUGAUGUUUAUUUAACCAGCUCAGAAGUAAUUGCGAAGAUUCAAAGAUUGAAUUGAGAUCUGGUUACUACCAAUUGAAUAUUAUAAGUGACGUUGAUCAUAAGAUGGUUUUCUGGACUCGUUAUAGUCUUUAUGAAGUUUGGUGAUGCUAUAUGGAUACUCAUGCUGUUUUAUGAGUUAUUGGAUGAAGUAUUCCAAUAAUGCCUUGAUAAAUAGAUAUCAUUUUCAUUGAAGAUAUUCUGGCAUAUUCUGAGCCAGAGCAGAGCAUGUAAACGUAUUAAGUCGGUGGAACAAAGAUUGGAAAGAAUGUCGGUUGUAUGCUAAGUAGCAAAUGCUAAAGUUAGAUGAAUCAGGUGGCAUUCUGAGAUUUGUUAUAUAUUCUUAAGGUAUUCAAGUGAAUCCUUAAAAGAUAGCAGAAAUUGAGAAUUUGGAACAACCACGAGUCGUAAUUGAGAUUUGGAAUUUCUUAGCUUACCAGGCUAUCUUGGAUGGUUGUGAAAGAUUUUUCAGUCAUUGCUUUGUCAUUGACGAGACUGUUGAGAAAAGAGGUCAUGUAUGAGUGGGAAGGAAAUUGUGAGCAAAGGAUUCAACAACUGAAGUAUUUUCCUCACUCAUGCACGUAUUUUGGUAUUCCCAGAGAAUAGUGGUAAUCAUAUAAAUUUUUAGUGAUGUUUCUUGAAUGGUAUUGGAUGCAUGUUGAUGCAAAAUGUUAGGGUGAUUGCAUACGUUUCACGAUAAAUGGAAUCUCAUAAGAUGAAUUACCCUACGGGUGACUUAGAAAUCAUGAUUACCAUUCUUGCUGUGAAGUUAUGAAGGGCAUUAUAUUUGGUAAGAAUGCAAGAUUUUUACGAAUCCAAAAAGUCUUUCAAUAUCCAUUACUUGGAAGGAUUUUGAUAUGAGGCAGCGAAAGUGAAUUGUAUUGCUUAAUGAAUAAUGAUUGUACGAUCAGGGUGAUCGUAAAGUUUGUUCUAAACUGAAGCACUUGGUGAGAAAUACUACAGUAAGAUUAAUGUCUGGCACGUUUUGCCAAGAGUAUCAUCUUGUGGAUUGAAAACCAACGGAAGAAAAAUUAAGAAUGGAAGAUCGAGAAGAAGUUAUACUUGUUAAAUUUCAAGUUAGGCCUGUUUGGUAAGGUCGUACUUGAAACUUAAAUGCUUGACGAAGAAAUUUAAGAAUUAACCAAGGUAGAGAAAGAAGGUAAGUUAAAUCCUAAGUUAAUCGGACUUAAGUGAUUAUCGAAAAGUUGGUGAAGUUGCUUACAAGCUUGUGAUGCCCUCAGAAUUGGUUAAGGUGCAAAACAUAUUUUAUGAUUCGAUGCGUUGUCACUAGGUGGCAGAUUCGUCACAUGAGAUUCUGGUGUAACUAUUGAGAAUUAAAUUGGAUUCGACUUGAUAAGGAAUCAAGGACGACUUUGGAUUGGAAAAAGAAGGUCCUGAGAAUUAAGACAGAGUAAGUAGUAAAAGCUUUGUGAAGGAAAUCAUUCAGUAGAAAAGUAUGUGGGAGAAAGAGAAUCGGAUGAGAAAGAUUUACCCGAAGCUAUUGUUGGAGUAUGGUUGAUUUAGUUGGUUGCUGGAAUUUCGGGGACGAAAUUCUAUAAGGAGGGAAGAUUGUCACAGCCCGUCCCGGAAUUUUAAUUCCGAGGACAUAAAAAGACGAAAAUGCCCUUAAACGGGACUAAGGGGCGAAAAUUUAACAAUUUGGAUUGAGUUGGACACGUGAGAUCCCCACACCCCUCAAUCCUCUCCCUAUUUUCUGCAUACUGUCUCUCUCUCUCCUCCCUCACGAAUCUCUCUCUCUCUCUGUCACUCUUCUUCUCCGUUCGAACAAACCAACCACAAAACAACCUUAAACUUCCACCAACGACGGAGUUAAGACCACCAUCGAACUCCUGGAGACUCCACGAUCACGUAGACACCAAUUUCAGGUAAGUUUUACUUCGGAAAACCUAGAUUCUAAACUCCCCGUGAAAGUGCACUGUUCAUGAUCUUCGAAUUGACUUUGUUUUAGGACAAUCCAAGCUCAUAGUGAGCUUUAGGAUGUCCCAAGGAAGCUCGGAGUGCUUCGUUGGAAGUUUUUGGACGUAAGAACACGGAGAUCGACAAGUUCAAAGUUUGGCCGGAGCUUUCGAGGCGUUUUCCGGCGAAUCCCCGGCGAGUUAGGAGUCGAGGUAGGUAUCAAUCUCUUCGUCUCGUCAAGUACUAUAACUUUCAUUUUUGUUUCACUCAAUUUCGUUGAGUAUUGAAGAAGUUAUACUCAUUUGAAAAAUACCCAGUUUCCGGCGACCUCCGAGGCUUUCGAGGCAGUUUCCGGCCAAACCACGGCUAACUAGGUGUUGUGCAAGGUACCAUUCUCUUUGUCUCUUCAAGGGCUACAACUUUCGUUUUUGAAUCACUUGAUUUCGUUGAGAAAUGACAAAGUUAUGGCAAUUUGAAAAAACUGCUCAGAAAACGGCCGCCGGAAAAACCAGUCCGGCGACCCAAGGAAGAAGAAGGUGCUACAGUAAAAAAAAAAUAAAAAUAAAAUUAUUUUAAAAAUAUGUCGACGUCCGUGACGUCGAGUAGAUCACUGUGGUAUAUUCAUAUACCUAAAUUGAACACCGUAUGAGAAAGUUAUUGAAGAUUGUUGGUUAGGUGUUCAAAUAACGUUUUAUAGUUUUCACAUUUAGGUGAAAAUGUGAAUUGAUGAUCCGACCGUUGGAUCGUCACCAAACUUUGAUACGUUGUAAUACGUAAUAUUUUGAGGAUUAUUGGAACUUACGGAUUGGGAAUCCGAAUUACGGAUCUUCCGGAAUUGGAAUUGUAAGUCCAUAAUAUAAAAUGUUAACCGUCACUUAGUUUUGGAAAUUGACGGAGAUCCGACCGUUGGAUGGUAAUGAAAUUUUAGGAUGUUGUCCUAGAGGUAUAAUGUGGACCUCUGGAAGUUAUGGAUUAAAAUCUGAGUGGUGGAUCUUCCGGAUCAAUCUACGUAGUGACGUAUUUUAUAUAAGUUAUAUAUUCUAUCGAUAUGAAUUCUGAGGUUGGAAUUGAUUAUUGUUUUAGGCGCCGAUCGUCAUGACGCCUUGGCGUAUUGUGCUAGGGAGUUGUAGGGCGAACUCCAGGUGAGUGGGCAGUUUUGUUUUCCGUAUAUAUAUAUAUAUACUUGACGUUUCCCAGAAAUUGAAAAUGCAUGAAAUUAUGCUUUAAAUGAAAAUGCAUAGAAUUGAUAUGAAAAGUAUAUAGAAAUGUGAGUUGAAAUGCCAUGCAUGAAUUAAUAUAUGAUGCAUAUGUAUGAAUUGGUGCGGUGGACGC